rnacentral:lncRNA from 10 species
GUGACAUGUCGCUGGACCCAACACCUACAGGAUUGGAUCAGAGGCUACUGAAUAAGCCCUGCCCAUAGGCGGCCUUGUGACAUAUGUCUGCAUCUAUCGCCUAAGUGAUGUGACUCUUUUUCUGCCUGCAGCCUGCACAUAGAGAAGAUUGUGACAUAUAGCUCUGCCCAGUAACCAGGUGAUGUGUCUUUUCUGGCAGGUCUUUUCCCACAGGGAGCAUUGUGAAACAUCACUGGGCUCAGCCACCAGGUUAUGUGACUCUUCUGCCUGUGCCCUGCUUCCAGAAAAUAUUGUGACAUUCCUCAUACAGCAUCCAGGUGAUGUGACUCUUCUGCUCAUUUUCUACUUACAGGAGACAUGCCCAAAAAAGGGAUUGUGGCAUAUCUCUGAGCCCAGCACCCAAAUGUUGUGACUCUCCUGCCUGAGCUGUGCCUAGAGAAAAUAUUAUAAUAUGUCACCGGACCCUGCAUGCAAGUGAUCCAAUUCUCCAGUCUGGGCCUUGCCCAUAGAGGAGAUUGAGACAUAUUCCAGGUGAAGAAUUCAGGUCAUGCAAAUGGAGGCGGAUUUUGACAUAUCAUAAAGCCAACAUAAUACACAGUCUGCAGGUGGAAUUGGGACUCUCAUGCAUGGAUCCAGUUCAUCAUUGAUACUGUGACUCAUGUACUUGGAUGCAACUCACAGGAGGUGUUGACGCUUUUUACCUGAAGCUGGGACAUGUGUGGAAUUGUGAAUCCUAGCCCUAGAUCUUCCCACAGGUGGGAUUUUGACAUAUAACUGCACCCAGCACACAGGUGAAGUAUCUCGUAUGCUCAUCCUGCCAAAAGUUAUGAGUGUCACCCUCACACAUGGACAGAGACCUCUGGUUAGGUCUUGAAUCUUGUACAUGGACACAGUCCGCAGUUGGAAUGUCAUAUGUAGAUCCAGCCACAGGUGUGAUGUUGACCUAUUUAUAAAGUUAGCUCACAGGCACAUUGAUAACUCUCAUACCUGGAUCCAGCCAAUAAAAGAUAUGUUGACUAUUAUA